rnacentral:rRNA from 1 species
AUUGGAGGGCAAGUCUGGUGCCAGCAGCCGCGGUAAUUCCAGCUCCAAUAGCGUAUAUUAAAGUUGUUGCGGUUAAAAAGCUCGUAGUUGAAUCUGUGUGCCACGCUGUCGGUUCAUCGCUCGCGAUGUUUAACUGGCAUGAUUGUGGGACGUCCUACCGGUGGGCUUAGCUGUGCGCAAGCGCAGCGGUCCAACUAAUAUCCCAUCGCGGUGCUCUUCAUUGAGUGUCGAGGUGGGCCGGUACGUUUACUUUGAACAAAUUAGAGUGCUUAAAGCAGGCUUAUUUUGCCUGAAUAUUGUGUGCAUGGAAUAAUGGAAUAGGACCUCGGUUCUAUUUUGUUGGUUUUCGGAAUACCGAGGUAAUGAUUAAUAGGGACAGAUGGGGGCAUUCGUAUUGCGACGUUAGAGGUGAAAUUCUUGGAUCGUCGCAAGACGGACAGAAGCGAAAGCAUUUGCCAAAAAUGUUUUCAUUAAUCAAGAACGAAAGUUAGAGGUUCGAAGGCGAUCAGAUACCGCCCUAGUUCUAACCAUAAACGAUGCCAGCUAGCGAUCCGCCGAAGUUCCUCCGAUGACUCGGCGGGCAGCUUCCGGG